rnacentral:lncRNA from 1 species
UUGAUUGAAUGACAUUAAAUUUAAGAAUAAUUUAUAAUUUAGGAAUAAUUAUCAUAACAAUAGCAAGUUAAACAUUAAUAGUUCUUACAGUGAACCAAGCGUCCUUCUGUGUGCUUUUCAAAUAUUAACUCAUUUAAUUCUCAAAACAACUUUGGUGGAUUUAAUUUUGGCCUUUUCUCUUUAACUCUUCCUGCAUCUACAACUUUGUCAUGGACUAAUUCUGGGAAGGGUGUAUUUCCUACCCCUUGACUCUGGGCUUGACCGUAAGAUUUGCAUUGGUCAGAGAUGUGUAAGGAGAUAAGCUGAGGGUUGAUAAGUGCUUGCUUGGCUGAGCUUGCUCUCUUGUGCUUCAGACACUGCCAGGAGGAAACAGAAACACUUGGAGCAGAGCUGGUGCUUAGAUAUCUGAGACUCAAUUAUUGUUGCUUUUAGCCAUUUGUUAAGCAACAUUGUUUGGCCACAGUUAAGGAAUAUGCUAUACUCUCAGGAGUGCAGACGGCUUCGUGAUUCCUGAGUGUGAAGUGUUUAACUCCGCUUCCUCCCCACGUUCCUGUUUUGAGACGGGCUGUGUAAGUUUGGGGAGAUGUAUGAAGGGGGAGGCGGUUUCAGUCCCUUUGCACUGCGGGAGACGCUAAUGAGGAAGUCGGACUGUAAAGACUGAAUAGGGAAAGGAAAUUCAACUUAACAACUAGUAGUCGUGACUGUUAAAAAAAAAAAAAAAAAAAAGGCGGGGAUAAAAAGUAGGAAAAAUUAGGGGGUGGGGGGUUACUAGUAAAGGGAAACCAGACGAGGAAGCAAGGAGAGUGUGCUACGCAGUUUCUCCUGCUCUCCCUCUCCCACUCCCUCUGGAAGCUAGAAAAAGUUUGUAUGCACAGCAUA